UACGUGAGCACGUGCGUGAUAGUGUCUACCUUGUAUUCGAUGGUUUUUGAAACAAGUAGAGACCCUUGGUGUCUGGUCAAUCUGGUGAAAUGAGGAUAUGGUACCGUUUUGAGGCUUGUUUGAUUCAUAGGAAAAGUAAAGAAAAUGUGUAGGAAUAGGAAAAAAAUAUUUGCAAGCACUAUUCAUUCCUUUGGUCGAAAGGAACGGAGUUAAGGAAAAGUGGAGGAAAAUUGGAUUUGAUCUCACAAUUCACUUGGAUCUCUUUUUAGAAUUUAUAAGUCCAAGGUAAGAGAUCGGCGCCUCCUAGUUAUACUUUUAGUGUGGUUUGACUUUGAUUUCAUCAUGUAUAGUGGAAUUCCUGUGUUUUUCUAUUCAUGUGAAUCAAACAUGCAAGUCUAGAACUUCUGUGUUUUCAGACCUGCAUUUCUUAUAUUUUUGGGUGUUUUCUAUCUCUACAUAUGUUUUUUUAAGACAAAUCUCUACAUAUGUAAAACCCUGCGUUUGCACCAAAACCGCAGCUCAUAGCCAUGCGUACCUGCUGUGUUGGGCCUAGUAAGCCGAGCACAUGCGUGUUAGGCCUUUAUUUUUUUUUUGUUUUGAGUGGAUCGUCUGUGUU
rnacentral:lncRNA from 1 species